UUCUGUACAUAAAAUUUUAUUGCAACUACAUUUUUAAAUUAUCGCUUUAUAAUGAGUCAGUCUUAUGACGUUUUAAAAACAUCAGUCGUUUCUUGAGAAUACAACCUGGCAUUGAAGGUUUUCUUUGCUGUUAUUAGUGUUCAUUUUAGUGUUAAAUAAUAAUUUUUAGUCAGCAUGAUGCAAUUUAUGUUAUUAUUCAGCCGUCAAGGUAAAUUACGAUUACAAAAAUGGUAUGUAGCACAUCCAGAUAAACUGAAGAAAAAAAUAACACGGGAAUUGAUCACGACAAUUCUCGCAAGAAAACCUAAAAUGUCAAGUUUUCUUGAAUGGAAAGAUGUCAAAGUUGUUUAUAAAAGAUACGCCAGUUUAUACUUUUGUUGUGCUAUUGAACAAAACGACAAUGAAUUAUUGACAUUAGAAAUUAUACAUCGAUAUGUUGAAUUAUUGGAUAAAUAUUUUGGAAGUGUAUGUGAGUUGGAUAUCAUUUUCAAUUUCGAAAAAGCCUAUUUCAUCCUAGAUGAGCUGCUGGUCGGUGGCGAAAUACAGGAGACCAGUAAAAAAAAUGUAUUAAAGGCUAUCGCAGCGCAGGAUUUACUGCAGGAGGAUGAAGCUGUCGAAGGUGCUCUACGGGAAAUAGGUCUUUUGUAAAAGCUCCGAUGUAGUGUCUUCCUCCUCAUCAAACAUCAUCGAGAUCAUCAACUUCUCAGCCAAUCUUACGCCUACCAACGAUGCCACCGCCCAUCUCGCCUUGUGCAUAAUUUUAAAUAAAAAUUUUAAUAAUAUAAUAAACAUCCAUUAAAAUACUUGCCAAUAUUAUAUUGCGUUACUAAUUCCAAAAGGGCUUAUAUUUUUAUACAUUAGGAAACUCUCUAAAGCCAAAAGGGUGUAUAAUUUUUUUUUCAUCGCCAAUCAUUUUGUAGACUUAUUUUAUACACAGAAAAAAAGUAUUUCUUGGUGCAAGAAAUAUUUUGCACUACGACUUGAAGACAAAAGUUUUCUUACGGCUGGAAAAAAUUUUAUUUUUGCCCCAAGAAAAUUUUUGUUUUCAGUAAAUAAUGCAAAAAUUUCUUGAGACGAGUAAAAAUUAUUUGGGCCAAGAAGUCUUUUUUUUCUGUGUAGGUAAAAUUUGAAAAAAUAAAUUUUUAGCUUUAGAAUGAGUCGACAAUAUGAUUAGCAGUGAAAAAAAAAAUUAUACGCCCUUUUGGUUUUAAAUUUAAAAGGGCGUAUAAAAAUCUAAGUCCUUUUGUAAUUAGUGACGCGAUAUACUACUCGCGAUCCAAUUUAUCACGAGAUUCCACAUAUUUUUAUACUAAAUUUUCCAUGUGCUUCUAUAAAAAAAAAUUAUAAUAUAUAUAUAAUUUAUUAAUAUAUUAAACCAAAAGUAAUAUAUUUUACCAUUAGCAAAAAAAAUGUAGAUAAUAGUUUUAUUUGUUAUUUAUGAUAAAGAAACACUCCAUUAAUUAUUAAUUACAAUUAUUAUUAUUAUUGUCUAAUUGUAGUGUAGGGUAGAAAAUUUGGUGGCAAUAAAAAUUGAAUGUGUAUCAAACAAAAUUAAAAAUUUUACAUCAAUGUAUUCUAUUAUUUUAUAAUAUAACAGAUUUUAAAUUUCGAUACCUGCAACAAUAAAAUGAGUAUUUUAAAAAUUUAUACAAUCUUUAGCUCAUAAAUCACCGAAAGCUUACAAAGAAGAAAAAAAAUUUGUUAAUGCACUUUAUAAACUAUUAUUUUUGUUUCAUGUAUGAUCGUUAUAUUUAUUUGUUAUUAAUAUUUAUUUUAAUUGCACAAAUAAUUGUUUAGUCAUAUGAAAAGGGUUCAGUUCGCCAUUUGAAGCUGCUUCGAGAAGAUAUUAUUUACCGAGUAGGAGGAAACACCCCAAGGAUUUUUUGAAGACCAUGGACUUGGAUAAUUUAUAAUUUUUUAUAUAAAUAGCUCUCUACCCUGACUAAUAUAAUAAUUGUCAAGGUUUUUUUUUUUAUUAUUAUCAUUCCGAUCCGCACUUGUUUCAAUUAUUUUUUAUUAUUAGUUUUAUUAGCAGGAUAAUUUUAGCACUUUAUUCGUGAUACAACGAAUUUUAUUUACAUUAUUGAUAUUUAUGUAAUACUAUUUUUAAAAAUUAAUCAGCAAUAUGUUUAUUAUUUAACGCACAAUCAUAGUUUAUAAGUAAACGAAACCUGUGACUAAACUGGUGCAUUUUAAGUAAUAAUUAAAUUACUAUUAAGUAUUAAUUUUAAUUUAUUGAUUACGAGAUGUUACAAUCAAUUAUAUCAAAUUUAAACAUGAGAUAAAUAUAUAGUACAUAAAUAUAUAUAUCAUAGUAAUAAUUAUGUUAUAUAUUUAAUAUUAUUAUUUGUUUUGUAAAAAAAAUACAAAAAUUUUAUUUGUAUUUGGAAGAUCAAAAUUGUUUUAUGAAAAAUUUUUUUAAAAUCAUGCUUUAUGCUCCGUCCACAAUGCAAUGUAUGAUGAUAUUAAUAAAUUUGACAGUUAAAUUUAAAAUUUUAUAAAUUUUAAAUCAUAAAUUAAAAUUAAGUUAACAAGCAACCGUAGUCACUACGUGACUGCCCGAGUAUUACUACAAAAUUUAUUGAAUUUGAAUUGAAUUUAACUGUUUAUUGAAAUCUACACUCUAGAAUAUUUUGUUUAUUUCUGUUAUCAUUAAAACUUAAUGAGCCCAAUCUCAUCAUUGACUCGAAAACUGAUUGAUUUCAAUGAUUGUAUAAUCAUGGGAUUCUUAAAAAAAAAACUACAC